rnacentral:rRNA from 1 species
UACGUAGGGUGCAAGCGUUUAAUCGGAAUUACUGGGCGUAAAGCGUGCGCAGGCGGUUGUGCAAGACAGAUGUGAAAUCCCCGGGCUUAACCUGGGAAUUGCAUUUGUGACUGCACGGCUAGAGUGUGUCAGAGGGGGGGUAGAAUUCCACGUGUAGCAGUGAAAUGCGUAGAUAUGUGGAGGAAUACCGAUGGCGAAGGCAGCCCCCCUGGGAUAACACUGACGCUCAUGCACGAAAAGCGUGGGGAGCAAACAGG